UACGAAGGGGGCUAGCGUUGCUCGGAAUCACUGGGCGUAAAGGGUGCGUAGGCGGGUCUUUAAGUCAGGGGUGAAAUCCCGGAGCUCAACUCCGGAACUGCCUUUGAUACUGGCAAGCUAGAGUCCGGAAGAGGUAAGUGGAACUCCUAGUGUAGAGGUGGAAUUCGUAGAUAUUAGGAAGAACACCAGUGGCGAAGGCGGCUUACUGGUCCGGUACUGACGCUGAGGUGCGAAAGCGUGGGGAGCAAACAGG
rnacentral:rRNA from 1 species